UUGGGUAUCUGCCAGGCAGCAACGUACCUAAUUAAAGACUAUGUGAUAGCCGGAGCCCUAGCAGCGAUAUUGUGACCAUGAAGGAUGUAGCUACAUACCAGAAAGGGAAUCCCCCAUACUGAGCUGACUUUUGAUCAGAGUGAAGAGUUCUGGAAUUUGCUGUGAAAUGCCCACUUCCUGUUUAUUAAUGAAGGUUGAAGGACAUUAGUCCUUCCUGCUAAUUGCAACUUUCUCUACCCUAUGCUAUUAACUCGUCUACAAUGAUUCCAGGGUUACUUCAUGCUCCUUUGCCCCAAUUACAAUGACCACACCCAUAUCUUAAGCUAAACCUCAAAUCCCACAGUGGUUUAUUUCCUACUCAUUUCAGGAUUAAAUUGAAAAAGAUGA